rnacentral:rRNA from 1 species
UACGUAGGUCCCGAGCGUUGUCCGGAUUUAUUGGGCGUAAAGCGAGCGCAGGCGGUUCUUUAAGUCUGAAGUUAAAGGCAGUGGCUUAACCAUUGUACGCUUUGGAAACUGGAGGACUUGAGUGCAGAAGGGGAGAGUGGAAUUCCAUGUGUAGCGGUGAAAUGCGUAGAUAUAUGGAGGAACACCGGUGGCGAAAGCGGCUCUCUGGUCUGUAACUGACGCUCAUGCACGAAAGCGUGGGGAGCAAACAGG